UACGUAGGUGGCGAGCGUUGUCCGGAUUUACUGGGCGUAAAGAGCGCGCAGGCGGUUGUCCAAGUCGCGUGUGAAAGCCCCCGGCUCAACUGGGGAGGGUCACGCGAUACUGAUCGACUCGAAGGCAGGAGAGGGAAGCGGAAUUCCCGGUGUAGUGGUGAAAUGCGUAGAUAUCGGGAGGAACACCAGUGGCGAAGGCGGCUUCCUGGCCUGUGCCUGACGCUGAGGCGCGAAAGCUAGGGUAGCAAACGGG
rnacentral:rRNA from 1 species